CUAGUAAAAAACGGGAGAAGUCC
rnacentral:tRNA from 1 species